AUUAAUCAGUUAUCGUUUAUUUGAUAGUACCCUCUACUUGGAUACCUGUGGCAAUUCUAGAGCUAAUACAUAGCUAAAAACCCCGACUUCGGAAGGGGUGUAUUUAUUAGAUAAAAAACCAAUGCCCUUCGGGGCUCCAUGGUGAAUCAUAAUAACUUAACGAAUCGCAUGGCCUUGCGCCGGCGAUGGUUCAUUCAAAUUUCUGCCCUAUCAACUUUCGAUGGUACGGUAGUGGCCUACCAUGGUUUCUACGGGUAACGGGGAAUUAGGGUUCGAUUCCGGAGAGGGAGCCUGAGAAACGGCUACCACAUCCAAGGAAGGCAGCAGGCGCGCAAAUUACCCAAUCCCGACACGGGGAGGUAGUGACAAUAAAUACUGAUGUGGAGCUCUUUUGGGUUUCGCAAUUGGAAUGAGUACAAUUUAAAUCCCUUAACGAGGAACAAUUGGAGGGCAAGUCUGGUGCCAGCAGCCGCGGUAAUUCCAGCUCCAAUAGCGUAUAUUAAAGUUGUUGCAGUUAAAAAGCUCGUAGUUGAAACUUGGGUUUGGUUGACCGGUCCGCCUCACCGCGUGCACUGGUUCGACCGAACCUUUCCUUGUGGGGAGCCGCAUGCCCUUCAUUGGGUGUGUCGGGGAACCACGACUUUUACUUUGAAAAAAUUAGAGUGUUCAAAGCAGGCUUAAGCUCGGAUACAUUAGCAUGGAAUAAUAGAAUAGGACGUUGGUUCUAUUUUGUUGGUUUCUAGGACCGCCGUAA
rnacentral:rRNA from 2 species